GGUUGGUCUGAGUACAGUGGUGUUUACAACUAAUUAAUCAAAACCAGUUACAGAUUCCUUUGUUCCUUCUCCACUCCCACUGCUUCAUUUGACCAGCCUUUA
rnacentral:Y_RNA from 1 species